rnacentral:rRNA from 1 species
GACGAACGCUGGCGGCGUGCUUAACACAUGCAAGUCGAACGAUGAAGCUGGAGCUUGCUCCGGUGGAUUAGUGGCGAACGGGUGAGUAACACGUGAGUAAUCUGCCCUUGACUCUGGGAUAACUGCGGGAAACUGUAGCUAAUACCGGAUACGACACCUUCGGGCAUCCGAUGGGUGUGGAAAGAAUUUCGGUCAAGGAUGAACUCGCGGCCUAUCAGCUAGUUGGUGAGGUAAUGGCUCACCAAGGCGACGACGGGUAGCCGGCCUGAGAGGGUGACCGGCCACACUGGGACUGAGACACGGCCCAGACUCCUACGGGAGGCAGCAGUGGGGAAUAUUGCACAAUGGGCGAAAGCCUGAUGCAGCAACGCCGCGUGAGGGAUGAAGGCCUUCGGGUUGUAAACCUCUUUUAGUUGGGAAGAAGCGAAAGUGACGGUACCAACAGAAAAAGCACCGGCUAACUACGUGCCAGCCGCCGCCGUAA